ACGGGUGAGUAACGCGUGGGAAUCUACCUAGUUCUACGGAACAACAGUUGGAAACGACUGCUAAUACCGUAUACGCCCUACGGGGGAAAGAUUUAUCGGAAUUAGAUGAGCCCGCGUAAGAUUAGCUAGUUGGUGGGGUAAUGGCCUACCAAGGCGACGAUCUUUAGCUGGUCUGAGAGGAUGAUCAGCCACACUGGGACUGAGACACGGCCCAGACUCCUACGGGAGGCAGCAGUGGGGAAUAUUGGACAAUGGGCGCAAGCCUGAUCCAGCCAUGCCGCGUGAGUGAUGAAGGCCUUAGGGUUGUAAAGCUCUUUCAGUGGGGAAGAUAAUGACGGUACCCACAGAAGAAGCCCCGGCUAACUUCGUGCCAGCAGCCGCGGUAAUACGAAGGGGGCUAGCGUUGUUCGGAUUUACUGGGCGUAAAGCGCACGUAGGCGGAUUGGUCAGUUAGGGGUGAAAUCCCAGAGCUCAACUCUGGAACUGCCUUUAAUACUGCCAGUCUCGAGUCCGGAAGAGGUAAGUGGAACUCCUAGUGUAGAGGUGGAAUUCGUAGA
rnacentral:rRNA from 1 species